rnacentral:rRNA from 1 species
UACGGGGGGGGCAAGCGUGUUCGGAAUUACUGGGCGUAAAGGGCCAGUAGGCGGCCAACUAAGUCCGACGUGAAAUCCCAAGGCUUAACCUUGGAACUGCGUCGGAUACUGGAUGGCUUGAAUUCGGGAGAGGGAUGCAGAAUUCCAGGUGUAGCGGUGAAAUGCGUAGAUAUCUGGAGGAAUACCGGUGGCGAAGGCGGCAUCCUGGACCGACAUUGACGCUGAACGGCGAAAGCUAGGGAGCGAAACGGG